CACUCCUACGGGAGGCAGCAGUGGGGAAUUUUGGACAAUGGGCGAAAGCCUGAUCCAGCAAUGCCGCGUGUGUGAAGAAGGCCUUCGGGUUGUAAAGCACUUUUGUCCGGAAAGAAAUCCUUGGCUCUAAUACAGUCGGGGGAUGACGGUACCGGAAGAAUAAGCACCGGCUAACUACGUGCCAGCAGCCGCGGUAAUACGUAGGGUGCGAGCGUUAAUCGGAAUUACUGGGCGUAAAGCGUGCGCAGGCGGUUUGCUAAGACCGAUGUGAAAUCCCCGGGCUCAACCUGGGAACUGCAUUGGUGACUGGCAGGCUAGAGUAUGGCAGAGGGGGGUAGAAUUCCACGUGUAGCAGUGAAAUGCGUAGAGAUGUGGAGGAAUACCGAUGGCGAAGGCAGCCCCCUGGGCCAAUACUGACGCUCAUGCACGAAAGCGUGGGGAGCAAACAGGAUUAGAAACCCUUGUAGUCCCAUG
rnacentral:rRNA from 1 species